GUGCUCACUUCAGCAUCGCAUAUUCUAAAGUUGUUACAAUACAGAGGAGAUUAGCAUGGCCCUGCUCAAGAAUGACAUGCAAAUUCAUGAAAUUGUCCACAAAGAA